AUUGAACGCUGGCGGCAUGCCUUACACAUGCAAGUCGAACGGCAGCACGGACUUCGGUCUGGUGGCGAGUGGCGAACGGGUGAGUAAUAUAUCGGAACAUACCUUGUAGUGGGGGAUAACUAUCCGAAAGGAUAGCUAAUACCGCAUACGCUCUAAGGAGGAAAGCGGGGGAUCGUAAGACCUCGUGCUAUAAGAGUGGCCGAUAUCUGAUUAGCUAGUUGGGGAGGUAAAGGCUCACCAAGGCGACGAUCCGUAGCUGGUCUGAGAGGACGACCAGCCACACUGGAACUGAGACACGGUCCAGACUCCUACGGGAGGCAGCAGUGGGGAAUUUUGGACAAUGGGGGCAACCCUGAUCCAGCAAUGCCGCGUGAGUGAAGAAGGCCUUCGGGUUGUAAAGCUCUUUUGUCAGGGAAGAAACGGUUGUGGCUAAUAUCCAUGGCUAAUGACGGUACCUGAAGAAUAAGCACCGGCUAACUACGUGCCAGCCGCCGCGGUAAGAC
rnacentral:rRNA from 1 species